AAUUCCGUGCCAGCAGCCGCGGUAACACGGAAGCCCCGAGCGUUGUUCGGAUUCAUUGGGCGUAAAGGGUGCGUAGGCGGCGCGGAAAGUCCGGCGUGAAAGGCAGGGGCUCAACCUCUGGACUGCGUUGGAUACUUCCGUGCUUGAGGACUGGAGGGGAGACUGGAAUUCACGGUGUAGCAGUGAAAUGCGUAGAUAUCGUGAGGAAGACCGGUGGCGAAGGCGAGUCUCUGGACAGAUCCUGACGCUGAGGCACGAAGGCUGGGGGAGCGAACAGGAUUAGAUACCCUGGUAGUCCCAGCAGUAAACGAUGUGAGCUUGAUGUGGGGGGAUUCGACCCCUUCCGUGUCGAAGCUAACGCGAUAAGCUCACCGCCUGAGGAGUACGGCCGCAAGGCUAAAACUCAAAGAAAUUGACGGGGACCCGCACAAGCGGUGGAGUAUGUGGCUUAAUUCGAUGCAACGCGAAGAACCUUACCUGGCCUUGACACGCAUUGUGUCGUCGGUGAAAGCCGGCUAGUCCUGGAAACAGGACGCUUUGCACAGGUGCUGCAUGGCUGUCGUCAGCUCGUGUCGUGAGAUGUUGGGUUAAGUCCCGCAACGAGCGCAACCCUUGUGGUCAGUUACUAACCGGCUUAGCCGGAGGACUCUGGCCAGACUGCCCUGUCAAACGGGGAGGAAGGUGGGGACGACGUCAAGUCAGUAUGGCCCUUAUGGCCAGGGCUGCACACGUACUACAAUGCCCGGUACAAUGCGAACCGAAACCGCGAGGUGGAGGAAAUCGCUCUUGAAAACCGGGCCCAGUUCGGAUUGGAGUCUGCAACUCGACUCCAUGAAGUCGGAAUCGCUAGUAAUGGCGUAUCAGCAACGACGCCGUGAAUACGUUCCCGGGUCUUGUACACACCGCCCGUCACAUCAUGGAAGUCUCCUGUACCCGAAGCACGUG
rnacentral:rRNA from 1 species